rnacentral:rRNA from 1 species
UAAGGAAUAUUGCUCAAUGGGAGAAAUCCUGAAGCAGCAACGCCGCGUGGAGGAUGAAGGGUCUAUGACUUGUAAACUCCUGUAAAGAAGGAAAAAAUUCCCAUUUGAUGGGAGAUGAUGGUACUUCUGGAGUAAGCCCCGGCUAACUACGUGCCAGCAGCCGCGGUAAUACGUAGGGGGCAAGCGUUGUCCGGAUUUACUGGGUGUAAAGGGUGCUCAGCCGGAUUUGUAAGUCAGAGGUGAAAUCUUACAGCUUAACUGUGAAACUGCCUUUGAUACUGCAAGCCUAGAGUAUGGAAGCGAGUGAUGGAAUAUCUGGUGUAGCAGUGAAAUGCGUAGAUAUCAGAUAGAACACCAAUGGCGAAGGCAGUCACUUGGUCCAUUACUGACGCUAAAGCACGAAAGCGUGGGUAGCAAACA